AUGGCGGCGAGCGAGCGAUCACUGCCCUGCCUCUUCCUCCACGGCGCCAGCGCCGGGGCCCACCUCAUCCUCGCGCUCGCCGUUGCUGGGAGCCGGCUCUUCCCCCGCCGCGGGAAGGACACGGCCGUCGCCGUGGGCGGGUUCCCGUGCUACGCGGUGGUGGUCUGCGCCACGUGGGCUCUGGCUUUAUUCCAGCUCCUCCUUGCCGCGUACUCCUGCUACCUGGACGCCGGCGCCGGGUGGCCGCUCGACGCGGUGGUGGACCAGGCGGAUGCCGCCACACGCGCGGUGGCGUGGCUGCUGCUCGCGGCGUACCUGCAGUUCGAGUUCCGCCGCGAGGAGCGGUUCCCCGCGCCGCUCAGGCUCUGGUGGGCGCUCUUCCUGCUGCUCUCGGUCGUCGCCGUCGCUGUGCACGUCGCGACGAGCCUCGACGGGCUCCCCGUGCCAGCGCGUUCGUGGGCGCUCGACGCCGUCUCGGUCCUCGCGGCCGUGGUGCUGCUCGUCGCUGGCCUUUCUGGCAAGAGCGAAGCAGGCGGGUCUCCUUCAGAGGAGCCCCUGCUAGAUGGCGCGAGCGAGAGCAGCAGCGCCUAUGCCUCCGCGUACGCCGGCGCCGGCCUCCUCGGCGUCCUCACCUUCUCCUGGAUGGGGCCGCUUCUCGCCGUGGGCCACAAGAAGGCCCUCGGCCUCGACGACGUCCCGGGCCUCGACCCCGGCGAUAGCGUGGCCGGCCUGCUCCCCUCGUUCAAGGCCAACCUCGAGACGCUGGCCGGCGACGGCACCACGAGCCAAAGGGUGACGGCGUUCAAGCUCGCCAAGGUGCUGGUGCGCACCUUCCGCUGGCACGUCGCGGUGACCGCGCUCUACGCGCUGGUCUACAACGUGGCCACCUACGUCGGCCCGUACCUCAUCGACUCCCUCGUGCGGUACCUCAACGGCGGCGACGAGAGGCACGCGAGGAAGGGGCAGCUCCUUGUCCUCGCCUUCAUCGCAGCCAAGGUGUUCGAGUGUUUGUCGCAGCAGCACUCGUGCUUCCGGCUGCAGCAGGUCGGGAUACGAGCGCGCUCCGCACUCGUCGCCGUCGUGUACGAGAAAGGGCUGGCCCUCUCCGGCCGUUCCAGGCAGACCCACUCGAGCGGCGAGAUGGUCAACAUCGUCGGCGUCGACGCCGACCGCGUCGGGAACUCCUCCUGGUACAUCCACGACCUGUGGCUGGUACCGCUCCAAGUAAGCAUGGCGAUGUUCGUCCUCUACUCCACUCUCGGGCUUGCCUCGCUCGCCGCGCUCGGCGCCACCGCGGCCGUCAUGCUUGUCAACGUUCCUUCGGUGAAAGUCCAGGAGAAACUCCAGCAGAAUCUGAUGAGGAGCAAGGACGUUCGGAUGAAGGCGACGUCCGAGAUCCUACGCAACAUGAGGAUUCUCAAGCUGCAGGGGUGGGAGAUGAAGUUCUUGUCCAAGAUCAUCGCCCUCAGGAAGACAGAAACAAACUGGCUCAAGAAGUACCUGUACACCUCGACCAUGAUCACCUUCAUCUUCUGGAGUGCCCCUACAUUCAUCGCCGUGGUCACCUUCGGAGCAUGCGUCCUCAUGGGGAUACCAUUGGAGUCGGGCAAGGUGCUGUCUGCAUUGGCCACACUCCGGGUGCUGCAGGAAUCGAUAUACAACCUUCCGGACAGGAUCUCGGCCAUCAUCCAGACCAAGGUGUCUCUUGACAGGAUAGCAUCCUUCCUAUGCCUCGAGGAGUUCCCGACGGACGCUGUGCAGAAGCUGCCGAUCGGCAGCUCAGAUGUUGCAAUCGAGGUCAGCAACGGGUGCUUCUCCUGGGAUGCCUCGCCUGAAAUGCCAACGCUCAAGGACCUCAACUUUCAAGCUCGGCAGGGCACGCGUGUAGCAGUCUGCGGCACGGUCGGCUCCGGAAAAUCGAGCCUGCUCUCUUGCAUUCUUGGCGAGGUUCCGAAGCUAUCAGGAGUGGUCAGGACUUGCGGUACAAUAGCCUAUGUGAGCCAGUCAGCGUGGAUACAGAGCGGCAAGGUUCAGGAGAACAUAUUGUUUGGCAAGCAGAUGGACAGUGAGAAGUAUGACAGCGUGCUAGAGCUGUGUUCGCUGAAGAAAGACCUGGAGAGCUUCCCGUCGGGCGACCAGACGUUCAUUGGAGAGCGAGGCAUCAACCUCAGCGGUGGGCAGAAGCAGAGAGUUCAGAUAGCACGGGCUCUGUAUCAGGACGCCGACAUUUAUUUGUUCGACGACCCCUUCAGUGCUGUCGAUGCUCAUACAGGAUCCCACAUAUUCAAGGAAUGCUUGCUUGGGGCAUUGGCUCAAAAAACAGUGGUGUACGUCACUCAUCAGCUUGAAUUUUUACCUGCAGCUGAUCUUAUUCUGGUAAUUAAAGACGGCAUAAUAGCACAAUCUGGCAGAUACAACGAAAUACUUGGCUCAGGGGAAGAGUUUAUGGAACUGGUCGGUGCUCACCAGGAUGCUCUUGCAACAAUCGACACAAUCGAUGUUCCAAUUGGAGCCAGUGAGGCUUUCUCAUCUGGUGGCGCAGCAAGUCUGUCCGGGUCACUGACAUCAGCUGAGAAAAAGGAUAAGCAAAAUGUCAAACAAGAUGAUGGCCAUGAUCAGAGUGGGCAGCUGGUGCAGGAAGAAGAAAGGGAGAGAGGUAGGGUGGGGUUUUGGGUCUACUGGAAGUACCUCACCUUAGCUUAUGGGGGAGCUCUUGUGCCAUUCGUGCUGCUCGCGCAGAUACUUUUUGAAGUGCUUCACAUUGCUAGCAAUUACUGGAUGGCCUGGGCUGCUCCUGCGUCGAAGGACGUCGAGCCUCCAGUGAGCAUGUACACACUGAUAUACGUCUAUGUGGCAUUGGCCCUAGGAAGCUCGGUGUGCACCUUCGUGAGAGCCCUGUUUCUUGUGCCAGCCGCAUACAAGACAGCAACUCUGUUGUUUAACAAGAUGCAUGUAUCCAUAUUCAGAGCUCCGAUGUCUUUCUUUGAUUCCACUCCAAGUGGGCGCAUCUUGAAUAGGGCUUCGACUGAUCAAAGCCUGGUGGACACCAGCAUUGCUAACAGGAUGGGUUCUAUUGCGUUUGCCUUCAUACAACUUGGUGGAACUAUUGUUGUGAUGUCUCAGGUUGCAUGGCAGGUCUUUGUUGUUUUCAUUCCUGUAAUUGCUAUCUGCCUCUGGUAUCAGCGCUACUACAUUGAUACAGCCAGAGAGUUGCAAAGGAUGGUCGGGAUUUGCAAAGCUCCUAUCAUACAACAUUUUGUAGAAUCAAUAACAGGAUCAGCAAUCAUUAGAAGUUUUGGCAAGGAAAAACAGUUUUUAGCAACUAAUAACCAGCUAAUGGAUGCCUACUCACGACAAAAAUUCUACAAUGCUGGAGCAAUGGAAUGGCUUUGCUUCCGCAUGGAUAUGCUAUCAUCCCUUACAUUUGCCAUCUCUUUAAUAUUUUUAAUCAAUCUGCCGACCGGUAUCAUUGAUCCAGGAAUUGCUGGCCUUGUAGUCACAUAUGGGCUUAAUCUGAACAUAAUGCAAGUAACGCUUGUAACAAGCAUGUGCAAUUUGGAGAACAAGAUCAUCUCAGUAGAGAGAAUUUUGCAAUACCUAAGCCUUCCUGAAGAGGCCCCUCUUUUGAUGUCUGAAGAUGGGUUGGCCCAUAACUGGCCGUCAGAGGGAGAAAUUCAGCUCCAUAACCUCCAUGUGAAAUAUGCUCCACAACUACCGUUUGUUCUGAAGGGCCUUACAGUCACUUUUCCUGGAGGCAUGAAGACAGGUAUUGUUGGUAGAACAGGCAGUGGUAAAUCAACUCUCAUACAGGCCCUUUUCCGUAUCAUGGAUCCCACUGUCGGCCAGAUAACAGUAGACGGCGUCGACAUUUGCACCAUCGGGUUGCAUGAUCUGAGAUCUAGAUUGAGCAUCAUUCCGCAAGACCCAACGAUGUUCGACGGAACCGUGAGACACAACCUUGACCCUCUAGGAGAGUACACUGACAAUCAAAUCUGGGAGGCCUUGGAUCACUGUCAGCUAGGAGAUGAAGUUCGGAGAAAGGAGCUCAAACUUGACUCGCCAGUGGUGGAGAACGGAGAGAACUGGAGCGUCGGCCAGCGUCAGCUCGUCUGUCUCGGCAGGGUGAUCUUGAGACGGACCAAGAUACUGGUCCUGGACGAAGCCACCGCUUCGGUGGACACCGCAACAGAUAACCUGAUCCAGAAGACACUGCAGCAGCAUUUCUCGGGGGCGACCGUCAUCACAAUCGCGCAUCGAAUCACCUCGGUCCUUCACAGUGAUAUAGUCUUGCUUCUUGACAAUGGCAUGGCUGUGGAGCACCAAACGCCAGCCAGGUUGCUGGAGGACAAAUCCUCUCUGUUCUCAAAGCUUGUAGCGGAAUACACGAUGAGGUCGACGCGCACUUGA
rnacentral:rRNA from 1 species